GAGUUUGAUCCUGGCUCAGAGCGAACGUUAGCGGCGGGCUUAACACAUGCAAGUCGAACGCGAAAACCCCUUCGGGGGCAAGUAGAGUGGCGCACGGGUGAGUAACACGUAGGCAAUCUUCCCUCUGGAGGGGGACAAGCAUCCGAAAGGAUGUCUAAUACCGCAUAAGACCACAGCAUCUACGGAUGCAGGGGUAAAAGGUGGCUUCGGCUACCACCAGAGGAUGAGCCUGCGUACCAUCAGCUUGUUGGUGGGGUAACGGCCUACCAAGGCAAAGACGGUUAGCUGGUCUGAGAGGAUGAUCAGCCACACUGGCACUGAAACACGGGCCAGACUCCUACGGGAGGCAGCAGUGGGGAAUAUUGGACAAUGGGCGCAAGCCUGAUCCAGCCACGCCGCGUGAGUGAUGAAGGCCUUCGGGUUGUAAAGCUCUGUGGGGAGGGACGAAAAAGGUACGUAAGAUAACGACGUGCCCUUGACGGUACCUCUUUAGCAAGCACCGGCUAACUCUGUGCCAGCAGCCGCGGUAAGACAGAGGGUGCGAACGUUGCUCGGAAUCACUGGGCGUAAAGCGCGUGUAGGCUGAUAUGCAAGUCAGGUGUGAAAUCCCUGGGCUCAACCCAGGAACUGCAUCUGAAACUGCAUGUCUGGAGUGUCGGAGAGGGAAGCGGAAUUCCUGGUGUAGAGGUGAAAUUCGUA
rnacentral:rRNA from 1 species